UCCCGAUCUCGUCCGAUCUCGGAGGCUAAGCAGGGUCGGGCCUGGUUAGUACCUGGAUGGGAGACCGCCUGGGAAUACCAGGUGCUGUAGGC
rnacentral:rRNA from 1 species